rnacentral:rRNA from 1 species
UACGAAGGGGGCUAGCGUUGUUCGGAAUUACUGGGCGUAAAGCGCGCGCAGGCGGCCAUUCAAGUCAGGGGUGAAAGCCCAGAGCUCAACUCUGGAACUGCCCUUGAAACUGUAUGGCUUGAGUAUGAGAGAGGUGAGUGGAAUUCCCAGUGUAGAGGUGAAAUGCGCAGAUAUCAGGAGGAACACCGGUGGCGAAGGCGGGUCUCUGGGCCGAUACUGACGCUGAGGAGCGAAAGCGUGGGGAGCGAACAGG